AGUAACGCGUGGGCAACCUGCCUUAUACAGGGGGAUAACAGCUGGAAACAGCUGCUAAUACCGCAUAAGCGCACAGUGCUGCAUGGUACAGUGUGAAAAACUGAGGUGGUAUAAGAUGGGCCCGCGUCUGAUUAGCUGGUUGGGAGGGUAACGGCCUACCAAGGCGACGAUCAGUAGCCGGCCUGAGAGGGCGGACGGCCACAUUGGGACUGAGACACGGCCCAGACUCCUACGGGAGGCAGCAG
rnacentral:rRNA from 1 species